ensembl:lncRNA
AUUACAGUACUUCAGAAGACUUUCUGAACUUGCCAGGCAACCCUCCCCCUAGACUUUGGGGACAGAGGAGCUUAAAUUUAUAUUUCCAGUGUCACACAAGGAGAAAGAAUGGAGUUGGCUGCUUUGUCCAAGUAAUGAAAAUCAAUGCUGUGUUGUUCUUGGAAGGAGCGCUCAAAAGGAAAGCCUGGCAUAUAGAUCUUGGUUUAGAGACAGAUUUUGCCUAGGAAGACUGUGCCCAGGGGAAGAUACAGGAAGAAGGAGAAGAGGUGAUGCUACAAGCUUCCUGACCUCCAGAGUGGGACUGAAGCUUUGUAACAAGGAGUGGAGCAGGACCUGGCAGCAGUGUAUCAAUAUGGGCAGCUCCCAACCUUUCAACAGCCAAGCCUCUUUUGAGCAGAUUGGCCGUGUCUUCACCCGUUUCUGUAUCCUCAUUUUCCUCCCAGCCUGGUGGUGAUGGUGACACUGAGCUAGCAAGACCACCUGAACCUCUCUGUCCUUUAGCUGCUUCUUCAGUGCUUCCCUGUAUGUGAAGAUCUUGGAUCUGUCAGAGCUCAAAAAAAAUAUAUGUUCACAGGGUAAUCCAUGUCCCACGCUGAUAAGGCACUUUUAUUUCACUGAGCUGUUGGAAACAACAGCUCUGUUAUGUCCCAUUCCUACUAAAAGUGGGACAUCUAGGGUGGAUGUGAUUCCCAAUAGCUGAGACUGGCACAGGAUAGAGUUCUUAGAGGUAAUGAUUUGACCUGUUUGGGUAUGAAGAAGAAAAAAAUCAUAAAGUAAUUUUGUGAAAAGUUCAGAAAGAUUUCUCUUGUAAUAAUGAGGUUUGUGCAAGAAGACAGCUUUGCACAGCAUUUAUCUUCUGCAAAUUUCCACCCCAGUCAGAUGCCAUCAUGUAAAAGAAUGAGGAAAUGGAAUGAAGGACAACAUUUUUGCACUAAAUUCUUGGUUAUCUGAAGAUUUCCUCUGGUCUGAAAAGAUAGCAACAGCCAUCCAUUCCAAGAAUGUUUAAAUGUGAUCAGGUAGGAAAAAUAAUUUCAAACAAAUGCAGCAGUAAGAGCUUCAAAUUGCAGUGAGUGUCCUGACUGAAAAAAAGAGAAUGAUUUCACAGGGGAAAAAUCCAAGGCAAAACUGCAAGAACAGUGCUAAUUAAAGAUGUGUCAGGUGCUGUCUCUGGAUUGCUGUUCUGCUACUGUGUGCAUUUCAGGGACCAAUGACAGGCAAGAACUGGGGUAGAUGUUGAAAUCUCUUCAUCAUUUCUUUCCUUGAACUGACCCAGAGAAGUCCUUGGGAGUGGAAGCUGGAGUGUAAACCAUGCUGCAGGCUCACUAGCCCCAGCUGCUAUGCUAGCUGCAGCUGUUUUCAUUACUGGCUAAAUUGUUGGAAAUGCAAUCCAGAAUGAGAGGGAAAACUGAAAUCUGUGGUGAAAAACUGGCUGAUAUUUUUUUUUACCUCUCACAAACUGGUACACUUCCCAGCUUCAGACAGGGCUGAAAGCAGUGGUCCUGUCAGAAAAGGCUGCUUCUGGCUGUGCAUCCUGCCUCACUGCAGACUGACAGGAAAUUUAGCCAGAAAUGUUGAGCCUCAAAACUAUGCACAAGAUCUACUCCCCAGGGUCCCCACCAGCUAAUUAGUGCUCUCCUGCCAUGAGCAGUGAUCUUUUCAAAGUCCAGCUUUCUUUUUCUGUUAAGACCAAAAGGCUUUUGCAAGCAAGGGCAUUAGUUAAAGUUUUUUUUUAAUGAAAUUGACACCAAGUUUCUCCCUGAGAUUUUGAAGAGCUAUUUUGGCUAUAUUUUAAUUAAAAAAAAAAUAAAAAUCUUACAGGUGUUCCUUCUUGUGUCUCA